AGAACUGAACGUUCCUUUGCCUGAUGAAGGAGCUGCGUAGGGAGAUCUUAUGUAUCAACAGGAGUUUCUCUAAAAUUAUAUAUUCCUCAUGCCCAGGUGAACACUGGUGAAAUUCAAUGUCUCAAAUACUAUCUGCACAGAUAGUGAGUGCUAGGGGCUAGUACUGAUUGUAAUUUAGACACUUUGGAUGAUCGAGUUAACAGAAAAACACGCCAAUGAAAAGUGCAAAACAUUUAAGAUGUUUGUGGUUUGAUACCAAACAAAGUUGUGAUCAACUAUAUGAAUCCUUUGUAACCACUCUGUAUUCCAGUACUACUUUGCUUAUAAAGAGUGUAUGUACAUACAAAGAGUUCUAGUUCAUUAUUCAAUAUGUAGUGUAUGGUGGCUUUUGAGGGUUAUUUGGAAGGCAAGCCUCUUAAAGUGUAUGAUUUUGAUUGCACAGGUUGCUGGAAGUGAUGUUGGUAUUACCGCAUUUCAGAUGGACAUAAAGGUAUACACAACAUAUUGGAUGUUUAUCAGCAGCAAGUAGUUAAACUAGUUCAAACGGCAGAAAUGAUUUUGGUUUUUUUUGUUUGAUCUUGUUAGGAUCGGGAACCCGGGUGGUGCGGAAUAUAGCCAAACAACGGUAUAAUGGCAAUAACAAAGACAAUGGAAGUUGAUAACAACGACAAUUAGAGUAGAUAAAGAAGACACAAAUUUAACGUGGUUCGGUCAAAGUGACCUACGUUCACAAGCGGAGAGGAGCAAUUUACUAUAACAAUAAGAGUACAAAAUUAGAGUAAACACUCUAAUUAAUCCCAAAUACCCUAAGAGAAUAACCUCACAAGAUCACUCCAAAGAAAGGGUUCACACAAGUGCUUUCCAACACUAACUCUCAUACA
rnacentral:lncRNA from 1 species